CGAAAGCCUGACGGAGCAAUACCGCGUGAGGGAUGACGGCCUAUGGGUUGUAAACCUCUUUUUUCAGGGAGGAAUAAAAUGACGUGUACCUGAAGAAUAAGCAUCGGCUAACUCCGUGCCAGCAGCCGCGGUAAGACGGAGGAUGCAAGUGUUAUCCGGAAUCACUGGGCGUAAAGCGUCUGUAGGUGGUUUAAUAAGUCAACUGUUAAAUCUUGAGGCUCAACUCCAAAAUCGCAGUCGAAACUAUUAGACUAGAGUAUAGUAGAGGUAAAGGGAAUUUCCAGUGGAGCGGUGAAAUGCGUAGAUAUUGGAAAGAACACCGAUGGCGAAGGCGCUCUACUGGGCCACAACUGACACUGAGGGACGAAAGCUAGGGGAGCG
rnacentral:rRNA from 1 species